GGAAGUAAAAGUCGUAACUAGGUUUCCGUAGGUGAACCUGCGGAAGGAUCAUUACUGAGUGAGGGCCCCUCGGGGUCCAACCUCCCACCCGUGUUUAACGAACCUUGUUGCUUCGGCGGGCCCGCCUCACGGCCGCCGGGGGGCAUCUGCCCCCGGGCCCGCGCCCGCCGAAGCCACCUGUGAACGCUGUCUGAAGUAUGCAGUCUGAGACAAUUAUUAAAUUAAUUAAAACUUUCAACAACGGAUCUCUUGGUUCCG
rnacentral:misc_RNA from 1 species